rnacentral:lncRNA from 1 species
GUGAUAUGUUUACUUUCAACCUUCAAGUCAAAUUCAAGCAGCAGCCAAAAACCACAGAUCAACACAUUUUUAGUACAAAGUGAAAUUAGGGUCAUUGGCACCCUCAGUGCUCCACCAAUUUCUGAAACAACAUUAAGUCCAUAUUAAUACUUGCUUUUAUUUAACCAUGUCAGAGGAGAUGGUAAUUAUGGGUAAGUAGGAAGGUUGGGAUGAAACCAAAUAAUUGCUGCUGAAGGAGGUAACAUAAGCACAAUUAGUUGAGAGGGUUAUUUUUCGUCUUGAAGGAGAAUUUAAAACCAGUUCUGUUCUGGUUUAAAUCACUUACUAGCUUGGAACGUAAUGGAAAAAUAACAGUGAAUAAUCAUAAUCCAUCUAAAUCCAUCUUCAUGCUAAUAGACAGAUUUUUUUAUUCUAUUAUUUAUUUAUUUAUUUAUUUAUUUUUAGGCUACCAUUAUCAUAAUUUAAAAUAAUCAAUAUCAUUAUCAUAAUGGGUUUGGGGUCCUUAAGGCUUCUCAUGUUUUCUUUAGACAGGUGGCAGCGAUACAAACGGGAUGUCAUCCAGUAGCAGCUUGUGCGGACCAAAUCAUGGACCCCUCCCAGAGGCUUGGGGCAAGAAGAGGCUUUCAAACCUUCUCCAUGGAUCUGAAAGGCCUGCUUAGUAGCAGCCUGAAUGAAACCCCUUCUUCAAGCAGCCAGUGUUAGCUGCAGAGGAGUGGAACUGCGCUCUUGGCCCAUUCAGGGGCAGACUGUGAUUUUAUUCAGUCAAUAACCCCACAAAAUUAAAGGCAAAACCCAUUUAAGAGUGAUGCCUUCUUUAAGAGUAUCCCAUCCACCCAUGCAGCCACAGUGAUGUGACAUAUUGUGACACAAAAUGCCACAGAAAAUUAAGCUGAGCCCUCCAACUGAAGACUUGAUUUAGCCAUACAUUCUCCACAAGUCACCAUUUAAAUUAACUGUUGUAGUUUCAAGACAGAAAAAUGAUAAUUCAUCUAGUGGCUUUUUGCAAUAACAUUCUUGAAACACAAAGUUAUCUGGAAAAAUUAAGCUCUCAAGGAAAUCUUGGCAGUGCUGCAACAUUUCCUGGAUUUCAGGUAGCGAUUCUGAGUUGUGAUCUCUUAAGUCUGUAACAAUUUGCUAUUUCUAAUUUAUUGCUUCAUUUGUGACUGCUGCUACAGCAAGGUAAAUUUAUUCUGAUUUGCACAACCUAAGUCUUAGCUCUGACAGUGACUAAUUAUUACCUGAGUUAAAAUAAUGAAAGUGUCGGAAAGUGUCCGAAUGCAAUUUGUUAGGAAAACAUGUGGCAUGCUGUGUUACCCAAGCCCAGAAAAACCUAAGUGAUCAGAAACCAUGGAGAAUUAAGAAUUUUUCCCCCAAAGGUUACAAAUCAAUGUGGAAAAUUUUCAGGGAAUUGGAGUGCUGAGGGAUUCAAUUCACUAGAAUAGAAAAUGCAGAACAUACCUGUGUGAUUAUUUGCUUAAGGAGGAAAAGUCAGGUUUUUUUUUUGUUUGUUUGUUUGUUUUUUUAACAAAUCUAACAGGGUAUUGUGGUAGUAACCACAUCCAGGGAGAUAUAGGAUAUUAUA